UCGUCCGCUACGGGUCGCGGUUGGGGGCGGCCGGGUCGUCAGGGGCGACACGGCUCCCUCUCCUCCUCCUCCCCCCUCCUGGCCCCCGCUUCCUCCUCCUCCUCCUCCUCCUCCUCUCCCUCAGAGGUUCGGCCCAAAAUGGCGGCUCUGAGCGGCGGCGCUGCUGCUGCUGCUGCUGCAACUCCUGCUGCUGAAGGGGCCUCGCUCUUCAACGGCGACAUGGAGCCCGAGCCGCCUCCGCCCGGGGCCUGCUACGCCGCCGGAGGAGACUCCGCCAUCCCCGAGGAGGUAUGGAACAUCAAACAGAUGAUUAAAUUAACGCAGGAACACAUAGAGGCCCUGCUGGAUAAGUUUGGGGGAGAACACAAUCCACCGUCCAUAUACUUGGAGGCCUAUGAAGAAUACACCAGCAAAUUAGAUUCAUUGCAGCAGAGGGAGCAGCAGUUGUUGGAAUCCAUGGGGAAUGGAACUGAUUUCUCUGUCUCCAGUUCUGCUUCAACAGACACUGUUGCAUCGUCAUCAUCCUCUAGUCUCUCUGUAGCACCUUCAUCUCUCUCAGUUUAUCAGAGCCCUACAGAUUUGUCAAGGAAUAACCCUAAAUCUCCACAGAAGCCCACUGUUAGAGUCUUCCUACCCAAUAAACAGAGGACAGUGGUUCCAGCAAGAUGUGGGGUAACAGUCCGGGAGAGUUUAAAGAAAGCACUGAUGAUGCGAGGCCUAAUUCCGGAGUGUUGUGCUGUUUACCGAAUACAGGAUGGGGAGAAGAAGCCAAUUGGUUGGGACACGGACAUUUCUUGGCUGACAGGAGAAGAACUGCAUGUAGAAGUCUUGGAGAAUGUGCCUCUUACAACACACAACUUUGUGAGAAAGACUUUCUUCACUUUAGCAUUCUGCGACUUCUGUCGAAAGCUGCUUUUCCAGGGAUUCCGUUGUCAGACUUGUGGAUACAAAUUUCACCAGCGUUGUAGUACAGAGGUCCCACUGAUGUGUGUGAAUUAUGAUCAGCUUGAUUUGCUGUUUGUCUCCAAGUUCUUUGAACACCAUCCAAUAUCACAGGAAGAGGCCUCCUUAGGAGAUUCCACCACAGCAUCUGGGUCAUACGCUUCAGUGGUCCCCUCUGAUUUGGCUGGGCCACCAGUUCUCCCUAGUCCUUCUCCUUCAAAAUCCAUUCCAAUACCCCAGUCUUUCCGACAAGGAGAUGAAGACCAUCGAAAUCAGUUUGGUCAACGAGACCGCUCUUCAUCUGCACCCAAUGUGCACAUCAACACAAUAGAACCAGUCAACAUUGAUGACUUGAUUAGAGAUCAAGGGUUUCGAGGAGAGGGAGCCCCUAUGAACCAGCUGAUGCGCUGCCUUCGGAAAUACCAAUCCCGGACUCCCAGUCCCCUCCUCCAUUCUGUCCCCAGUGAGAUAGUGUUUGAUUUUGAGCCCGGCCCAGUGUUCAGAGGCUCAACCACUGGUUUGUCUGCUACACCACCUGCAUCGUUACCCGGCUCCCUCGCCAAUGUGAAAGCAUUACAGAAAUCACCUGGGCCUCAGCGAGAGAGGAAGUCCUCCUCAUCUUCAGAAGAUCGGACCAGGAUGAAAACUCUUGGUCGACGAGACUCAAGUGAUGACUGGGAGAUACCAGAUGGCCAAAUCACAGUUGGACAAAGAAUAGGAUCUGGAUCAUUUGGGACAGUCUUUAAGGGAAAAUGGCAUGGUGAUGUUGCGGUGAAGAUGUUGAAUGUUACAGCCCCUACUCCUCAGCAGCUGCAGGCCUUUAAAAAUGAAGUAGGAGUGCUCAGGAAAACACGACAUGUGAAUAUAUUACUUUUCAUGGGCUAUUCAACAAAGCCGCAGCUAGCUAUAGUUACGCAGUGGUGUGAGGGCUCCAGUCUUUACCACCAUCUACACAUCAUAGAGACCAAAUUUGAAAUGAUCAAGCUGAUUGACAUUGCACGGCAGACGGCACAAGGAAUGGAUUACUUGCAUGCCAAGUCUAUCAUCCACAGAGACCUCAAGAGUAAUAAUAUAUUUCUUCAUGAAGAUCUCACAGUAAAAAUAGGUGAUUUUGGUCUAGCAACAGUGAAAUCACGAUGGAGUGGGUCCCAUCAGUUUGAACAGUUGUCAGGAUCAAUUCUCUGGAUGGCACCAGAAGUAAUUAGGAUGCAAGAUAAAAAUCCCUACAGCUUUCAAUCAGAUGUGUAUGCAUUUGGGAUUGUUCUUUAUGAGCUGAUGACUGGGCAGUUACCAUAUUCUAACAUCAACAACAGAGACCAGAUAAUAUUUAUGGUGGGACGAGGAUACCUCUCUCCAGAUCUCAGCAAAGUAAGGAGUAAUUGUCCCAAAGCCAUGAAAAGGCUAAUGGCAGAAUGCUUGAAAAAGAAGAGGGAUGAACGACCCCUCUUCCCACAGAUCCUUGCCUCUAUUGAGCUUCUGGCCCGAUCGUUGCCAAAAAUUCACCGCAGUGCAUCUGAGCCCUCCUUGAACCGGGCUGGUUUCCAGACAGAGGAUUUUAGCCUGUAUGCUUGUGCUUCUCCAAAAACACCCAUCCAGGCAGGGGGAUACGGUGGGUUUUCUGUAAGCUGAACAGAAGUUGAAAGCAUGUACCUAUGUAUUUGGUUUGUGAACUUUUGUUGAUGUUUGAAUUCCCAACAUGUUAAUUUUCAUUUUGGGAAAGAUGCAUUGACUGAAAAAGGACUUAUCUGACACUGAGCCUCCUGUGUUCCUAGAAUGGCAUCUGUUGCUGGCAAUGGACUGCCUAGUAAUUGCUCAGUAGGAAAAGGGAAAAGUCAUCGAAAAUUAAUAUACACCCAUUUAUUUUUGGGUCAUAGGUCAAGCUUUUUUCUGAUAUCAUCUUUGCUUUAUAGGUUAUCGUACUUUGGUUUAUAAGUGGCUAGUAGAGUUUUACAUCCACAUCUAAAACUAUUUCCUUUUGUUUCCACAGUCUUUCUUAUAUGCUAGUAACAAUUUUAGAUGCACAAGUCAGCAGCGUUGCUGACACUGCGUAAAGGAUAAAGUAAAAGAUUAAGGCUGAGUGCAUCAGGUUUCCUUAAAUGAGCAGAGCAAGCUUCAGGCGAAUUUGCAGCGUUCAAGUAGCCACAGCAACAUUGGCAGCAAAUCCACUCUCUUAUUUUUAAAGUCUUGUGUUUCGAUAAUAUCCAGACUCUGUUCUGCCCCCUCCAAACAAAGCAAUUUAGACAAAAGAAAUCCAUAUACUUAAGAGCAGCACAGAAUGGAGCAACCAGUCCAUCUUUUGGUGGGAGGGAAAAUUAUUUUGUUGGAAACCUGACAUCUCUGCUGCCUCUGUGUUCACCUCCACCCUAUACACCAUGUGCAUUCGGAGACCCCCCUCCCCCAGUGGCUGCCUGUACCGUUGGCAUCAUUCCCAGGAGAGCAGAGGGCCUGCGCUUUGACUUUCUGGUGUUCUGGCAUGAUGAGAUUGGAACUCCUGCAUCAUGGGCUUGGGAUGGUCUGCUGGUUGGCUUUCUCCCUCUAACAACGAAUCAUCAGAGGCUGAACAUCUGAUGAGACAGAGCUAAUCAAAACAAUCAUCCUCUGGUCUGAUUUGACUGUGUGUAUGUGUAUGUGUGUGUGUUUUCCCUGAUGGGCUUUCUGAUCCAAGGGAUAAUUGCAGUAUCUCCUUUUCAACAAAAUUUGAAUGUUGGCUGUUACUUUUUAAUAAAAAAAACUCCCCCACAAACCUGCCAAAUUGGAGGAUAAAUGGGAAAAGGAAGUUUGGAAAAGGAUUAAUAUGCCAGAAAAGGAGAUGCUGCGCUUUCUGUUCCCAGAAUUGCUUUUAUCUAUUCAGAAUAAUUCUUUCCCCAUCUUUAAUUAUUGUGCUCUUUCUCCAAAAGAGGUGGGAGGCUCUUUUUGUCGGUCCAGCAACAAACUUUUUUUUUUUUUACAAAAUGGUAGCAGAGUUCUAAAUGUGUGCUUCUUUUCAUUUUGUGUUGAUAAUCAUUUUUAUUCUGUGUAUUUUACAUGUGAACUUUUUGGGAAUACCCAGAAAGUCUAAUGCAGACUAUGAAUAACAAGUGUACCUAUUUUAAAAGGUGCAGGAUAAUGUCAGGUACAUAAUAUUUCAUAAACAGAAGUUCUCAGGUUGAAUUGAAUUUGUUUUAAAAAGAAAACCCAGCUGCAAUCACCGCCCCUCCAAGAAUUAGACAUUCCAAAAAAGCAUGCUUGGAUACUUUUUAAAAAGAGCUUUUAAUCGUGUGAACUCGGCAGAUUUUAUAUGUGUGUGCAUAUGUUUAUAUGCAGUAACUUGUCCUAAGUGGCAAUUUGCUGCUUAGAGGUUUUUGCUAGAGAAAUGGUACUUGCUGGAUCAACACUGGUUUCUUCUCUUCCCUUUUCCUAUCCUCAGCUUUUUCACAUAAUUUCUUUUCUUGCCCUGUGUUUUGAAUUCUUGGCUUAAAGAUUUUAUGGUGAUGGUACUUUGCUUUCUCUUUUUGCCUUGCCCUCCAUCCUAAUUUGCAAAUAAUUUCCAUUUCUACUUAUUUGCCAGUCAGAGCUAACAAAACCCAACAACAGUAAUUUACACACGUAGGUUGUCUCUAGUGGAAUCAUAAUUCUUAACAGUAGAUUUUUUGGCUGUAGUGAUUACUAUAACGGAUUUGUUUUCAGUUUGUAAAGAAGCAAGUUGGAUGCCAGUGGAAGGAAGUUUGGUGUUCCCCAGAAAUCUUGGUGUUCAGUGCUUUUCGACGCCAUUCCUAUUCCAUAUUCUGAGGCUGGAAAAAACACUCCAUCAUCAGUAAUUUUUAUUAAUUAAAAUCUCAUAGUCUUGGAAGACUUCAUAUCCAAAUUCAGAGUAUGCACAGUGGUCAAUAAAUACUUUGGCUUCACUCCAAGCAGAGGUGAAGGAAAGGAGAUGGUCUUUCUAGGAAUGAAAGUUUAAUUGUGAAAAGGAAGCUUACGGUAUCAUGGAAGUUCUUUUUUUAAAAUCACAUUUGCUUCAUUUUAUUGGAAUUGACAAAUGUAGCUGAAAGGUACCAGUGAACCAGGGCACUUGUAGAUAUUGGAGUAAGAGGGACAAUUGAAAGAUUAUAAGUUCAAAUGAAAAUGUGGUUGUUGCAGAAAAGAUGUUGCUUUUCACACUUCAUGAGUGGGGUGGCAGACUUCUGUGCACAAGUGUCACUGAAGGGAGUGUUACCAGAAGCUUGUGAGUGUGCUCUUGUAUCUUUCCUCCUUAUUUCAAUGACCAGUUGCUUUAGAUAACAUCCUGAGCAUUUGUAUUUUGGGGGGGGGGGGGGUGCAAUUUGAGUUGCUUGAAAAGUGUACCCAGAUUUGUUCUAAACCAUACUGGAACAACACAGGUUUGCUGUUUUUAGCAGAUUUGGUUAAAACAGUAUAUCAUUUCUGAACACAUGCUUCCUUUCAAACUUGCACUAUCUUCUUAAUACCACCAUCCUCAAAUCCAGCAAAGAAUUUGUUCCACACUUAGGUAAAUCCUUACAUUUGUUUCUGUAUAUGUUACAUGUUGGGAUGUGCUAAGGUUUACAGAAUAGGCUACAAAGGCGUACAAACAGGAAGAAUGUGAGAAUUAUCUGACAGCCUUUUAAAACCAUGCAAGGAAAAUGUGAAAACAGAUGAGAAUUUCUUUAGCGCAUUCUUUCCAAAUCACAUGGGAUUGAUGGAGCAGCAAAUGUUUAGUCACACCCAUGGUUUCAACAAGGAUCCUUUCUAGGGAGCAUCCUUACCUGUGGAGAGGAAAGCAAUACCUAUUUCAGGAUUUGACCCUUUCUUCCUCUUGGAAUCCAGCCACCCCACAGCUUUGUGCUUCUGAUUUUUCCUAAGUGUAGAGUUAUGUUCAUCCCUGUUGAAGGGCAUUUUAUUCAUUUUUGCCUGGCUCUCCAAUCUGUUAUGGUCAAUUUGAAUCCCAGUGUUGUUAUCUGAGGUAUUAGUUACCCUUCCAGUUUGCUAUCAUUUGCAAAUUUGCUGAUCAUCCCCUCUGUACUUUGCAUCCUAGACAUUUAUGUGAUGGCUAAACAGCACUGGGCCCAACCCUUUGGCACUCCACAUGUUAUGUUUCACAUACACCUAAGAAUACAGUUGUCUAGCCAUAUUUUAUGAGUUUGCCCACCAAGAAUAUCAUGAGGGAACAUUUUAAAAGUCAUGCUGAAAUCAAGGUGCACUGCAUCCACAGGAUUUCCCUAAACCACUUCUUCCAAGUUACAAAACUUCCAGUCUUCUUCUUGUGUAGGCUUCUUGAUAUUACGAUUCUUGAUCCUGCUGCUUAGGGAGUGGCAGUAUUCCAGUCCUUGUCUAGCAAAAACAUUAAAAUCGUCCCUCCUGCCAGCUCAGUCCGCAAUUAUAUAACUUGCUACUUUCCAUUUUAACUAGUCUUGAUUUCCAUUGAGCUUUUUCCAUUCACUGCAGCAACAACCACUCAAUUGAUGCCCUUGAUUUGUCCCCUUUGUCCCUUAGCUCUUGCGUACUGACUGCUACUAGUUACACAGUAGUACCUCCUAACUGGUCCACCUCUAAUCAUCAUCACCACUGUAACUUGGAUAUUCUGUCUGCUAUCUUGAUGUGUCCCUGGCACACCUUAUAAAAAGAUCUUCCAUUUUUCCUUGAUCUAUGCUGUUUCUAUACAGCAUAAGUAGGUGCCUGGAAUAGUACAGAAAAGAUGUUGCCCUUUGAGGGUGUAUCAAUGCUUAACACCAGCCCCGUUUCUCAUGCCAUAUUUUUAAUAAUUUACCCUUGAGAGCAAAUUCUGGCUCAUUGCUAAGUAUCUGGCUCAUUUUAAUAGCCAGUUGAAAAUCCAUGAAUGUUUUAUAGUGUGUGUGUUUUUCCUAAGUAACAAAUAGUUCUCUUAGAACUAACAAAAACAGGGAAGUUAUAUCCAGGCUUGAUUGUAUUCAGGCUUCAUUAUUCAGUACUCUGCAAACAGGCUUUAAAGAAAAUUAAAGAACUAGGAAACACAUAUUGUCCACCCAACACACGUUAAAAUAAAUUGCAUAUUUUUUUGUUUGCAGCUAAUUUGUCUGUCAUUCCUUUAGGAAUUCCUUGCUGAUCUUCAUUACUUCCCCUCCAUGCACACAUUUUUUUCAAAAGACUCACCAUAAUUUGCCCUGAUUCAUAAUAUAUUUUGCAGAUCACUUUAAUCAUGUGUUCUUAUCUGCUUAAUUUAAGACUACAGUCUACCCUCUUUUCUGGGGACCUCCAUUGACAAAAAUAUGGUAGACUUCUGAAUAAACAUGGGUAGGAUUGUGCUGGCAGGUAAUUAAAACAGACAAUCCACUUUGGUUUUCAUUUUAAAAAAAUACUUAAGAGAGCUGAGACACUCUUUUUAAGAAUUGUAUAGAACUUCCGCCAUUGUGCAAACACACAUUUUAAUGGCUAGAUAUUGCCAGAAAAUAUUAUUUUUAUGUCACGGAUUCUGCUGUGUCCAGCAGCAGAAAAACACAAUAGGCGUCAAAUCCAUCUUUGUGUCAAGAUGUGUCAAGCAGCCAUAUCAAAUUGCUAGUUCCAACAUUAAGUAGAUUCAUUGAAUCAAUAGUAAGUUAACCCAGAAAUUCCAUUAUUUCAGUGAUUCUAAGGUGAGUGUUGGCAUCAGUCAUGUAUUAGCUUUGAGGAUACGUAAAAAUAUUUCCAGUGCUGAGUUUUGCCUCACUACCAUCCUUGUUUAAGUGAUUUUUCCACUGCAACAAGAUCGGUACAGGCAGCAGUUUACCAGAAACCAUCCACAAUCUACUUCAGUGAGAUCCUGCAGGAAGUGUAUUGCUUCAGAAUACUGUAUACUUCUCUCCACAUGCUUAGGCCUAAUUCCAAUUGCUAGUCUCAACUAGACUGCUCCCAUUAAAUCAGUGGGAAUUGACUUACUAUUCUGUCAGUCUACUUAGGGAAUAACAACUACAUUUAGGCCAUGAGUCGAAUUUUCACUGUGAAAUGUGUUGAUCUUUUGUUAGCUUUUUUGGGGGGGAGGUAUGAAAUUUCUGUUUUGUUUUGCUUUUUUGUUUUGCUUUAGCAGAAGGCUUUAGUAGAAGAAUUCUAGCAAGGGGAUAUUUUGCAGAUCUAUUUGUUUGUAUUUCCUUUUGGAUUAUGAAAAGCAUAAGUAGUGCAAAGAGUUCAUAGUACUGAAGGUAAGUAACUUUCCAUCCAUUGAAAAAGAAAAGGGAAAAAAGUCACUCGACGAGAAUGACACCAUUGAGCCUUGUGUGGUAAUAUACUCUGGAUUCAGUCUCACUCUAACUAUUUUGUAUUUUGGGUACAAAAUCAUGUUACUGUGAGUUAUUCCAUAGCUUCCAUUUUUAUUUCUUCAAUAGCCUACUACUAGAGUUGGCUAGAAAUGCAUUUUGUGAAGGCUGAACUAAUGUGGAGUAGUGGUCUGAGUGCUGGACCAUGACUCUGGAGACCAGGGUUCAAAUCCCCACUCAAUCAUGGAAGCCCACUCAGUGAUCUUGGGCAAGGCACAUUCUCUCUACUUCAGAGAAAGGCAAAGGCAAACCAUCUCUGAACAAAUCUUGCCAAGAUAGUGUUGCCUUAGGGUCACCGUAAGUCGGAAAUGACUUGAAGGCACACAACAACACACCUUAAGUGUAAUGCACUGUUUUAAAACGGAGAAGAAAGGCACUAGAACUUUUCAGUCAAGCUGUACUAGCCUUCCUGGAAUAUAACUCCCAUCAUCAUCCCAUAUAAUUUCCAUCAGCAUCCUAGCCUUCCUGGAAUAUAACUCCCAUCAUCAUCCCAUUGCCACCCAUACGGGAUUUGCCCAAAACAUUUGAAGGUUGGAGAAGGCUGAGGUACAGUCAGCCUCACAGUAACCCUUCCUGUAAUGCUCUGGGAUAUUCUUGCCUCUCCAGUGUGUGUCCAAAUAAAUACCUCAACCAUAUGCCACAGAACACAGUAGAACAGCACUACACAAAGUAAUGUAGCUUUAAAUCCCCCCUACCCACCACCAGCAAGUGGUUUGUCUGCAUCACUUCCAAAAGGGUGACAAUAGACCGUUGUUUUGAGGUUGAUUCAGCUUUGCAAAUAUGGUUUUAGCUAAGCCUGUUUGGUGCAUAUUCUUCUCAUAUAAUUUGGAUCCAUUUGUUGGACAUUAUUUGCAAAAUUAAUCUGGACAAGAGGUAGCACAGCACUUUGUUUGCCUUUACACUUGUUUUGGCACCAUGAUUGUAAACUAGGCAGUGUUUGCACAAGAGAGGGAAGAUACUGAAUGUUCAAACAUUCCAGUGCAUACCUUUUGCUUUAUAAUGAGAGCUGCCUUGGAUCCCAUCUCGGGACAAAAGCAUGGUAUAAAUACAAGAAUAAAUAAAAUAAAAGAUCCCUCACACUUAAAAUGAAAGUGUAUACGCUCUAAAAUAUCUCCUUGUAAUUUGCCAAAUAAUCUGUGCCUUUAAAACAAAUUAAGAAGAGAAAUCCUAAACAUAUCUAGGUGCUUAUGUAACUGGAGCAGUGGCUUUGCCUUCACUCCAAUACACGAUAUGUUUUCAAAUGGAUGGCAAAAGAAGAAAUCAGCAAGAAAGUAGGAGCUUGUGGAUUAAUCUCAAACAAAAAAAGGUGGCUGGUACUGGGUUGCCAGUAUAACUGCCAUUAAUCUAUCAUUAAGGCUUUUCUGCAGGUGUUCCAAGCAGGCUGCUCCCAGUCUUUUCUUUUCAAAUGAGUUAUAAGAAACACACAAAUGUAUAUAUGCAUAUCCAGCAUGCAUACAUGUAUCCCCAAUUUAUAUAAUUAAAUUGGAAAAAAUAAACUGUUCCAGUUAAAGUAGAAGUACAUCCAGAACUGAUAUGUCUCUCCUUUUAAGUAAUUUUGUAAAAGAUUGUAUCAUGAGGAGGGGAGUGGCUUAAUUCUAACUAGUUUGUGAUCGGUGGAAUAGGAGAGAGCAGUUACAUUUUUAACCACAAAAAGCAUAUAGCCCCAAGGUUGGUGACAUUUUUAUUUAGAGAGGUAUCAGAUUUGCUUGAAAUAUUUGGACUUCUUAAUAAUAUGGCAACCUAUCAAACCAGCUUGUGUGUGUUAACAUAUUUUAGGUGAUCUGCAGGCUGAAAACGUAAUCUGUAGGUGGAAAAUGUCAAAAUAGCUAAGAAACAGUAGUAGAUGGACUAACAUGCUGAAGUUGCAUCUUGUGUAUCUGUACCCUGAUCAUCUUUGUUGUUUCUAUAACUCACACAUAUGAGAGUUGCCUGUGCAGUACAUUGUUUAGAAAUUUCUGCUGUUUUGAUGAAGAGAAUAGGCAAAUCAGGUUUGUAGCUGGUCUGACUCAUUUCUGCUCCCUACAUGUUGAUAUGACAUUCUUGUUCUUCAUUUGGAAUGAUACCUAUGUGGGAUUAAAUUUAUGAUUUAAGAUUUCAUAGUUUACAAAUGUUUGAGUACCAGCAGGCCGGGAAAUGUCUUGCGAUAGCAAAAUGAACUUUGUGUAGUAUAAUACUAUAUAUGUUUGUUCAGAAGUAAGUACCACUAUGUUUAGUUGGGUCUUCUUCCAGAGAUGUGUGCAUAGGAUCUCAGCUUUGAUUGUGUGUAUUUCAUUCCUGUUCUAGCAGCUGGAAGGAGUUUAAGUAGUUCGAUCCUGCCUGGGCAGUUAGUUUGCAGUUGCUAACACAGUCAUGUCAGUUUAUCUCCUUCAGCUUCUGAUUACCAAUCCUUACUCUUGGAACUGUAUACUCUGUUAGAAUUACUCAACUUUUCUCUUUCUGAACUAGGAAAAUCCCAAGGUGACUUUGGGUGCUACUAUGGAUACUUUCAUUUUACAAAUUCCCUAUUACAUUAGUCUGUGCUCAUGUUUGGUUUAUUCUUCCACUUGUUGUCUGUUUUUGUUUUUGUUUUUAUUCUUCCAUCUGUUUGGGAAUUUCACAAGAACAGACUUCCCACCAAAUGUGUUGAACUGCAAUUCCCAGGGGGUUAUCAGAGUUGGAGUCCAUCGCAUUUGGAGACCACUAGUUUGAGGAAGGCUGUAUUUAAAUGCUGGAAACAUUUGUCCAGGCAGACAUCAAAAUGGAGGGAGACAAAGAGGACCAAUGGGGCGAGGGAGCGUGGGAACAGUUGUUUGGCUUGAGUGUAGGGCUAAGUUUAAAUAAUGCUUUACUUAAAUGAUACAUCAUAGUUGCAAUACAUGUACUUUGAAAUUCAAAACUGUGAAUGGUUAAGAGAAAUACACCUCAUUCUGUCUAUACAGUAUCCUCUUCCUUUUUUUACUGUCACUAAAACAUUGCAAUGACUUAAGUAAUCUUGCCCCAUGGCAACUUCACAUCUUCAGCUGACAUAACCAAAAUGCUAUAAGCUUACUUUAGCCCUAAGCUAUAUCUUUGUUUAUAAUGUGGAUUCCAAACUACACAAAAAGUCUUACUAUAUGAAAACUUUUUUAUCCACUACACACUCCCCAGAUACCUCCCACACCAUGUGACUGAUGGAGACUAAUGUUGGAGAUACCCAGUUGGAAGCUAAUUCUCCUCCCCAUUUGUAUCAGGAUACAAGAAUAGAUCAUGAUAUUAGAAUGGAAUGCUAAUUCAAAACUGAGCACUACUUGCCCUGUCACUGGACUGCAAUAGCCCUUCUAGCCUGAGUGGGAAGUUUUGUUUGUGUAACCAGCACCUCACCUGGCUACUAGGGACCAGUGAAGGACAAAAAGUUUGCUUCCAAGCAAGCAACAGAAAAGUCAGCUUGCUUGUUUUCUGUUAUGAUUGAAAUAAACAGCCGCUUGCCCUUUGCUUCACUUUUUAAAAGAGUUUGUAACCUCAUGGGUUUGUUACAUGGACUUUCUGUCCUCUCAACCAUGCUAUAUCUCUUUGGUUAGCUAGGCGUAAUUGUACUAGCUGGUCAGUCUGUCCAUUGCAAUAGGUUAUUUUAAUAUAACAUGAGUCACCACCUGCAAACUGGUUAUGACUUCAGGGACUUGCUGUAAUCAGAGAGUAUACAGUUCCUCACAGUGGUCUUUCUCUGCUGUAUAGAAGCUUGAAUCCUGUAGUUAUGCCUUGCAAGCAUACCAGGUGAAUAGAUAGACGAGAUUGUUGAAGCACUGAGGGGGGAGGAGGGUGUUACUAAUGCAAACUCAUUGCUGUUUCCCCCUCCCCAGUAUUCUUUGAAACGAUGAACAGUCUAUGGGUAGAAUUUGACAACCCUAAACGGCCAAAUCCUGUGGACAUAAUUGCAAAAGGCAGCCAACAGAAAGGUUUGAGAUUAUUCCAGAAAAUUGCUGAAAAGGAGAAAUGUGUAUAGUUUUUUUUUAAUUGCUGGGACGAGAUAUAUAUACUGAACCCAACAUUCCUUCAAGCUGUAUUUACCACCAGUAUCUACAAGUCUGGAAUUUCACAAGUCUAUUUUUCCUUCAGAUGAGAAUUGAUAUUGCUACCUACUUUUUAAAAAGAAUGACAAACAAGAACCUAAAUGUUUCAGGACCUGAACUUUAUUUCUAAUUCACAGGGAAUUUUGUUUUCAGCUUUCCGUUUCAUGAAUCACUGUAGCUUUUUCUCCCUGCCUCCAAAUCUUUCCUUCUCCAUAACUCCUCACCAUAAAUGUUUAAUCACACCAGUUUCAGUUUUUUUCUUCUCCUGGUAUGUCUUUUAGCCUGGAUUCCCUUCAUUUGUAUUUGAGCAUUUUCUCUCAUGUAAAUUUGUACAGUGGGAAAUAUUGUCCAGUUUGGUUUAGGGAGCAUGGAGACAUAAAAUAAAAGUUUGAUAGCUAAAAAUUGAGAUUGAAGAAUUAUUUGUGUAAAGUUAUUUAAAGAACUCUGUAUUAUAUAAAAGGUUUAAAAGUUCUAUGUAUUUGAUGUGAAUACUGCUAUAAUAAAGAUUGACUGCAUGGAGAACAGUCUGUCUGUGUAUGCAUUAGUGAAAUCAUUGCUAAAUUACAGACUUCAAAGAACAGAAUGAAAGCAAGAAUUAUAUUGAAUC